rnacentral:lncRNA from 1 species
CCGAACUCCCGAUUUCCACUCCAAACGCUAUAGCUGGGUUGCAAGCGGCGGCGGCGGCGGCAGCGCGGGGCAGCUGCCGCGGGCCAGCGCGCGGCGGAGUCGGUGGAGUCGGGCGCGGGCAGGGAGGCGCGGCGGCGGACCGGCGGGCGCGCGGGGCAGGGAGGCGUGGCGCCCCCCGCGGCCAGCGCGCAGGGAUGCGCGACGCGGCUGCCACGCGCAGGGAGGCGCGGCGGCCAGCGCACGGCGGAGAGGAGCGGCGGCUCCGUCGGCCAGCGAGCCAGCAAGCAGCGAGCAGGAAGCUUGGCGGCGGGAUGGCGCUGUUAAAGGAAGCUUGACGACGUCGCGACCGCGACUCCCUCCCUCAUCGACAACACCGCCGGGGAGCACGUCGUCCAGCCGACGGAGCCGCGGGCGCGGGCCUUCUCCUGUGGCUUCCGGCGUUCGUCGACCGGAGCUCCACGGCUUCCACCCUCCGAGGCAACGUCAGGUGGCUCAGAGAUGUCACCGUCGGCGCCAUACAGGCAGCGGUGGAGGCCUCCUCCUCCUCCAAGCCGGAGCCCGCCACCUUAGUUCAUCCACAUCCGCGGACCCAGAACCGAACGCAGGUUGGGGUUCUUGAUUUUUUUUUUUCUUUUCUAGAUAAUGAAGUUGGGGUUCUUGAUUUGCUACGCCAUGCUUGUGAUUCAAUCUUGUUUCUGUAGCUUACCCAAUAUAAAGGACCUUGAUCUUGUGCAAUGUUGCAAUCAUAUGUAAUAAGUAUGUACUACUUUAUAAACUGUGUUCUGUCAUCGUUUAUAUGAAAUUGGCACAAAAAUAACUUGAAACAUAUCCAGUGUGUAUACCAAAACAUGUCCAGGGGUAUGUUUGUCUAUUCACCACACAUUUAACACCGUUACCACUAAUUAACAGAGUAGGGGCAGGCGGCUCCUUCAUUUCAAAAAAGCAGGGGCAAAAUCACAAACCUUAAAAAACAAGGGUAAAAUCACAAUUGAAUCGUAAAGCAAGGGCAGAAACACAAUUGCCCCUAAAAAAAAUUAACCAUCUAGUAGACUAGUACUACCCUCGUUCCAAAAUAAGUGCAGCCAUGAGUUUCCGCGUCUAAUUUUGAUCGUCCGUUUUAUUUGAAAUUUUUUUAUAAUUAGUAUUUUUGUUGUUAUGAGAUGAUAAAACAUGAACAGUAAUUUACUCGUGACUUAUGUUUUUAAUUUUUUUUAAAAAAAAUUCAAAUAAGACGAACAGUUAAAAUUGAACGCGGAAAACCAUGGCUGCACUUAUUUUUUAUUUUGGGAGAGUAUGAGAUUGAGCUAAGUAAAGAAAAAAAUAAUGUUCAGUUGGUCAUCACUCACCUCAGUGCCAUUCCAGCAGGGAAAAUGUAGGCAAUGGCGACGGCGGCAGUGGCGCCAGUGAACUGGAACGCGUCCCAAAUGUUGGGGACGAAGUUGGCGGCGAGGAAGAUGACCG